AUUGAACGCUGGCGGCGUGCCUAACACAUGCAAGUCGCACGCGAAAGGGGGCAACCCCAAGUAGAGUGGCGGACGGGUGAGUAACGCGUAGGAAUCUACCUAGUAGUGGGGGACAACCCGGCGAAAGCCGGGCUAAUACCGCAUACGACCUAAGGGUGAAAGCAGGGGAUCGCAAGACCUUGCGCUAUUAGAUGAGCCUGCGUCCGAUUAGCUAGUUGGUGAGGUAACGGCUCACCAAGGCGACGAUCGGUAACUGGUUUGAGAGAACGACCGGUCACAUUGGGACUGAGACAGGGCCCAAACUCCUACGGGAGGCAGCAGUGGGGAAUAUUGGACAAUGGGGGCAACCCUGAUCCAGCGACGCCGCGUGUGUGAAGAAGGCCUUCGGGUUGUAAAGCACUUUCGGCAGGGACAAACAAGACGGAGCUAACGUCUCCGUUCCUGAUGGUACCUGAAGAAGAAGCACCGGCUAACUCUGUGCCAGCCGCCGCAGUAA
rnacentral:rRNA from 1 species